rnacentral:siRNA from 1 species
UCCAAGGGUUUUGGGAUGUCUUA